GUGGGGCAGCCUCUGGAGCAGAUGUGUUUGUGUAUUCUCAAUCAAUAUUUCAUUAGCCCACUCUAAAAGCCUAGUGGAAUGUCUGUGGAAAAUGCUGGACUCUACUUGCAUAUAUUCAAUACUGAAAUAAAAACUAAAGCUUUUAUGACAGCUUGUUUGCUCUCAAGAAUUGCUGUAUAUCAAAACCGUUACAAGCCCGGUUUUUGUUGUGAGAACCUGUUCUGCAUUCAUAAGUUACAUUUAUGAUAUAAAUGAAACCCUGGCUGAGAUUCUUUGAAGCAGGGUCAGGAUUAGCAUACAUCACCCCGCCAUGCCAGCCAACGCAGAAGCAGAAGACGAAGAAGCUCCCAACAAAUAACCCCCUUUCCGCCGC
rnacentral:sRNA from 1 species